CCAAGUUGAUAACAAUCGGCGUAAAGAGUGGUUAUGAAUAAACCCCCUAAAACUAAAGCCAAAUGCCCCCAGAGCUGUUAUACGCCCCCGGAGGCCAGAAGCCCAACCACGAAAGUGGCUUUAUAUUAUCUGACCCCACGAAAGCUAUGAUACAAACUGGGAUUAGAUACCCCACUAUGCUUAGCCCUAAACACUGAUAAUGUACUACAACCAUUAUCCGCCUGGGUACUACGAGCACCAGCUUAAAACCCAAAGGACUUGGCGGUGCUUUAGAUCCCCCUAGAGGAGCCUGUUCUAGAACCGAUAAUCCCCGUUAAACCUCACCCCUCCUUGUUUAUACCGCCUAUAUACCGCCGUCGUCAGCUUACCCUGUGAAGGACCAAUAGUAAGCUCAAUUGGCACAGCCCAAAACGCCAGGUCGAGGUGUAGCGUAUGGAGGGGGAAGAAAUGGGCUACAUUCAGUGCAUCACUGAAUACGAAAGGUGGGCUGAAACGCCCACCCGAAGGUGGAUUUAGCAGUAAGCGGGAAAUAGAGCGUCCCCCUGAAACUGGCCCUGAAGCGCGUACACACCGCCCGUCACUCUCCCCGAAAUCAGAAUUAAAAGUACCUAACACCCUAUUGAACUAAA
rnacentral:rRNA from 1 species